AACGAACGCUGGCGGCAGGCCUAACACAUGCAAGUCGAGCGAAGCCUUCGGGCUUAGCGGCGGACGGGUGAGUAACGCGUGGGAACGUGCCCUUUGGUACGGAAUAGCCCCGGGAAACUGGGAGUAAUACCGUAUGUGGUCGAGAGACGAAAGAUUUAUCGCCAAAGGAUCGGCCCGCGUUGGAUUAGGUAGUUGGUGGGGUAAUGGCCUACCAAGCCGACGAUCCAUAGCUGGUUUGAGAGGAUGAUCAGCCACACUGGGACUGAGACACGGCCCAGACUCCUACGGGAGGCAGCAGUGGGGAAUCUUAGACAAUGGGGGGAACCCUGAUCUAGCCAUGCCGCGUGAUCGAUGAAGGCCUUAGGGUUGUAAAGAUCUUUCAGUGGGGAAGAUAAUGACUGUACCCACAGAAGAAGCCCCGGCUAACUCCGUGCCAGCCGCCGCGGUAAAAC
rnacentral:rRNA from 1 species